rnacentral:rRNA from 1 species
UACGUAGGUGGCAAGCGUUGUCCGGAUUUACUGGGUGUAAAGGGGGCGCAGGCGGGAAGCUAAGUUGGAUGUGAAAUACCGGGGCUCAACUCCGGAGCUGCAUCCAAAACUGGUUUUCUUGAGUGGAGUAGAGGUAAGCGGAAUUCCGAGUGUAGCGGUGAAAUGCGUAGAUAUUCGGAGGAACACCAGUGGCGAAGGCGGCUUACUGGGCUCUAACUGACGCUGAGGCCCGAAAGCGUGGGGAGCAAAC